rnacentral:rRNA from 1 species
UACGUAGGGAGCAAGCGUUGUCCGGAAUCAUUGGGCGUAAAGCGCGCGUAGGCGGCCCUGUAAGUCCGUUGUGAAAGUCAAAGGCUCAACCUUUGAAAGCCGAUGGAUACUGCAGGGCUAGAGUCCGGAAGAGGCGAGUGGAAUUCCUGGUGUAGCGGUGGAAUGCGCAGAUAUCAGGAGGAACACCAACGGCGAAGGCAGCUCGCUGGGACGGUACUGACGCUGAGGCGCGAAAGCGUGGGGAGCGAACAGG